rnacentral:rRNA from 1 species
AUUGAACGCUGGCGGCAGGCCUAACACAUGCAAGUCGAGCGAGCGGCGGACGGGUGAGUAAUGUAUGGGGACUGCCCGAUCGAGGGGGAUAACUACUGGAAACGGUAGCUAAUACCGCAUACUAUCGGAUAACCCAUAUGGGAUUAGCGAGUAGGUUAGGUAAUGGCUCACCUAGGCGACGAUCCCUAGCUGGUCUGAGAGGAUGAUCAGCCACACUGGGACUGAGACACGGCCCAGACUCCUACGGAGGCAGCAGGGGGGAAGAUGGCACAAUGGGCGGAAGCCUGAUGCAGCCAUGCCGGGUGUAUGAAGAAGGCACUAGGGUUGUAAAGUACUUUCAGUCGGGAGGCGUUACCGACAGAAGAAGCACCGGCUAACUCCGUGCCAGCAGCCGCGGUAAUUC